UUAAGCUACUAGAAUCUUAUUUUACUGAUCUGGCUAGGUUAUCUGCUGCUUAUCAACUUCCGGUGUAAUAUAUUAAUCUUUAAUAUUUAAUGUUACAUAAUCCUGUAUUAUUAAAUAAUAUUUGUCCGUAAAUAAUCAUUAGAAUAAUUAAGAUAAACAAUGUUUAAUAUUAUCUUUUAAGUUUGUAAAUUUAGUAUUAAAUUAGGUCAAGAUGUUUUUGUAUAAAUACCGCCAGUUUAAAUAUAUCGGGCAUUGGUAUUGUAACCGUUGUAACGAGCAUUACAAGAGUUUUCUUAUAUAACGUAUCGUCAUUUUCGCCGCCACCCUGAUUUCCUCAAACAAUAACAUAAGAAACAAUGGUUGAAAGUAGUACAGAGAGAAAAUUGGAAGCCGACCCAGCAUUCACGGAUCUGCUUAAAGCAUUUCCUACGAGAAUAUUUCAUUGAGGGGAGAAAAAGAAGCACUUUACAUAAAGAUGCAAUUCCUAUAUGUUUUUAUCGGAAUAUGGAAAAGGAAACAUCAACGGAAUGCACAUUCAGUACUUCACCUGACAGAAGCAGUUUACCUGAUCCCGAUCACAUAAUAACAAUUAUAAAAUGAAAAAAGUCAGCAUUGAAAAACAUAAGACCGUCAAAAAGGCCAAUUUUCAUAGUAAAAUCACCAUCCAGUGUAACAACAUUAGACGGUAAAUUAGCUAAAAUAUUUCUAAAAUAGAGAGAAAUCUGCAAAGCUCUGUUGCAGCGGUUACGGUCAAGUCAACGGUCGUGUAAUACUUUGAAAAAUAAAGUAAUGUUAUUGGAGGAUGAAAUAAAACAAUUGAAAACCAACUCGGUCAACACAAGUGCUCCAUUAAUGUUGACUCUGUUCAAUGAUAUGUAUGAAAAGGAAACUUAACGAUCAGGGUUGCUAGAUCAAGAUAAUAUUAGUGUUGUUAUUAUAAAUA